ensembl:snRNA U6 U6 spliceosomal RNA
AUGCCUCGGAAGCAUAUAAACUAAAACUGGAACCACAUAGAGAAGAUUAACAUGGCCCCUGAGCAACAAUGAUAUGCAAAUUCAUGAAGCAAUCCACAUUUUU